AACGAACGCUGGCGGCAUGCCUAACACAUGCAAGUCGAACGAAGCCUUCGGGCUUAGUGGCGCACGGGUGCGUAACGCGUGGGAAUCUGCCCUUGGGUUCGGAAUAACAGUUAGAAAUGACUGCUAAUACCGGAUGAUGUCUUCGGACCAAAGAUUUAUCGCCCAAGGAUGAGCCCACGUAGGAUUAGGUAGUUGGUGGGGUAAUGGCACACCAAGCCGACGAUCCUUAGCUGGUCUGGGAGGAUGAUCAGCCGCACUGGGACUGAGACACGGCCCAGACUCCUACGGGAGGCAGCAGUGGGGAAUAUUGGACAAUGGGCGAAAGCCUGAUCCAGCAAUGCCGCGUGAGUGAUGAAGGCCUUAGGGUUGUAAAGCUCUUUUACCAGGGAUGAUAAUGACAGUACCUGGAGAAUAAGCUCCGGCUAACUCCGUGCCAGCAGCCGCGGUAA
rnacentral:rRNA from 1 species